rnacentral:pre_miRNA from 1 species
UAUUCAUAUUAAUUGAAAACAUUCUUUAUGAGAGAAACAGAAUUGAUUGUUUCACAAUCAAUAUAAACAGUAGACUACAUCUCUGACAUUCAUAAAUAACAGAAAGAUAGAGAGAUCCCAUUAUGUUU